rnacentral:rRNA from 1 species
UUCGGAUCGUAAAACUCUGUUAUUAGGGAAGAACAUAUGUGUAAGUAACUGUGCACAUCUUGACGGUACCUAAUCAGAAAGCCACGGCUAACUACGUGCCAGCAGCCGCGGUAAUACGUAGGUGGCAAGCGUUAUCCGGAAUUAUUGGGCGUAAAGCGCGCGUAGGCGGUUUUUUAAGUCUGAUGUGAAAGCCCACGGCUCAACCGUGGAGGGUCAUUGGAAACUGGAAAACUUGAGUGCAGAAGAGGAAAGUGGAAUUCCAUGUGUAGCGGUGAAAUGCGCAGAGAUAUGGAGGAACACCAGUGGCGAAGGCGACUUUCUGGUCUGUAACUGACGCUGAUGUGCGAAAGCGUGGGGAUCAAACAGGAUUAGAUACCCUGGUAGUCCACGCCGUAAACGA